UUGUGUCCUGAUCCGUUCGUCUCAAUCGAUCUCCCUUCCUGUAACGUAGGUGGUUGCCGUUGUUUGCUGGGGGUGUGCCGUGACCAUUCAUGCCGGUUGAUGUUGAUGGCGUGCUUCCUUCCAGUGGCACUUCUUCUCAUAUUGAUCGGUAAUUUCUCCUCAUCGGAACCAUUAUGUUUGUUUUUCAUUUUGUACUAUGUCGAUGGACACUUCUUUUUUGAUAUGUGCAGCAAUUAUGCAAUAAAAUAUCUUCUUUGAUCAUGUCACCUGCUACAGAUCAGCAUAUGUACAUGAAGUCAAUUGUCUGGAGCACUUGACCAUUGUUUAAUUGAACAACUGAAUUGGUAACUAAGUGAAUGCAUACGUUCAACCACGAAUUAAACACCUCUAAUGAUUCUGAGUAUUUGCUCAGCUCCUAAGAUGGAAAAACCUAGGUAUAGUCGCCCAUGUUGUUUGCUUACACAUCUUUCUUUUUUCCUUUAUACCACCUAUUCAGUUCAUUGUAUCUGAAUAUUAUUCGAAUAAUGUUGAGCCGGUGCAGGUUACAUGGAUUUGUGAUUAGCUCUUCUCGAAAUCUAUGAACCUUGGCUUUGGAAAUACACAUGCUAUCUUGACUAUUCCUAGGCGCCUGCCAAUUUUACCAUUUGAUGAUCACAAUUACUAUAUCAUAGUUGCUGUAAGAUGAGUUUUAAACAUAUGCCACCUACAUAUAUUAUGAAGUGUGAUUUGAUAUAUAUUGCAAAGAAAUAGCAAUGCCUACUUGUUCUGGAUAUAAUUUUGUAUCAGUUCACAGCUGAUCAUACAUUUUUUUUGUUAACAUAAGAAAUCUUUGGCUUCUCCUGAUGUACCAUUUUUAUUUGUACAUAAGAACCUUUGACUUCUCCAACCACUGAGUACUGAAGUUUCCAUAUUUCUGGAUUUCUCAAUGGUCAAUCAAUUUGUUACCAUAUAGUUGAGCACUUCAGCAAUCUUCCAAUAUAUGAUUAUAAUUUUACUGGCAGGAAGCUAAACAAGAAAAUAUAAUUAACUUUGUUAGGUACGUGGAGCAAUACUAAGUCCUAUAAAUCAUGUGUUAGUAUUGUACUAGAAUUUAUGAAUACUUGUAAUUUUGUUCCAUGAUCCAUGUUAUUGCAUGCCCACAUUAUUUUUCUCCAGGUAUUUUUGGAUGCUUAAAAAAUUACCUCUCACCAGAGAUUUUAUUUUGAGGCAUGCCACAUUUGAGUUUAACACAAUAGAGAAUAUUUUUUUAAUUCACACAAAAAGGGAAAACAACAGCUACAUGGGCCGGCCCUAUAGUGGUUUGCAUGCCCCUAUAGUGGUUUGCAUGUGCGUUAUAGCGACAAUACGUCACAAAAGGCGAUGAAUGGGAUUUUCUGUCCUUGCUAUCAUAUUGUUUUUUCCUCCGGCAACCAAGCCAAUUCUGCUAGAUUGAAAGUGAGAUAUCUGGUGUUCUUGGUAUGGACUACUCUGAAAGCCAGUCUUCAGCAGGGUUUUUCCUCUCAGAAAUGUAGUUUUUUCUAUAAGAAUAGAUACUGAAUCCCGAAUACUUUGAUUGUUGUGCAGUGAAAGUACCGAUAUUCACUAACCUUUCUGAUUCAUCCCAUUGAACUCUUCUAUGUAAUGCACUGAGCCAUUGGCAGUGUUGAAAUUGGAGUAAAGAACAAUGUUGAAAUUGCUCUGAUUAUUACUCAAUUAUGUUGUACUCCCGAACUUGUUGGAGGGUGACAACUUAGAAGUUUCACGUCUCAUUUUUCCAGUUUCAUUUAGUCAUUUUAAUUUUAACAUUGAGAGGGCGCCAUGAUCUUAUUAGGAAUAUCAGCUUAUUUUGCAUGAUUAAUUGAUGUUUUUUACAUUCAUAUUUUACAGCAUUUUGCUCGGGGUGCUCAUGCCUUUUGCCAUGCGUGGAGAUCAGAUCUGUUACAGGCACAUGCCAACAGAAAUAUUGUUAGCAAGACACGUAAGCACGGGAUUAUGCAAAAGAAUAGUAAAACAUUUGUUGCAAGAAUUAUAUCCUGCUGAUGUGUUGCGUAUUAAAUUGUUUUUCUACCUCUGAAAUAUUUCCUGCAUUAUUUCAGUCAAACGCUCCCAAAGGACAUUUAGGCUCAAAUGUGUUGUAUUGAGACAUACAUAUUUCGUAGACUGUUAUAGCAAGAUUUAGAGAAAAACAUUGGUGUGUCAAAUAUACAUUCAUG
rnacentral:lncRNA from 1 species